CUGCGGCGUGCUUAACACAUGCAAGUCGAUCGGUAACGCGGGGGCACCCUGGCGACGAGAGGCGGACGGGUGAGGAACGCUUGGGAAUCUGCCCUUCAGCGGGGGACAACCCGGGGAAACUCGGGCUAAUACCGCAUACGCUCCACGGAGGAAAGCCGGGGACCGCAAGGCCUGGCACUGAAGGAUGAGCCCAAGUCGGAUUAGCUAGUUGGCGGGGUAACGGCCCACCAAGGCGACGAUCCGUAGCUGGUCUGAGAGGACGAUCAGCCACACCGGAACUGAGACACGGUCCGGACUCCUACGGGAGGCAGCAGUGGGGAAUAUUGGACAAUGGGGGGAAACCCUGAUCCAGCGACGCCGCGUGGGUGAAGAAGGCCUGCGGGUUGUAAAGCCCUUUCGGUAGGGACGAAAGCUCUUGCUCUAACACGGCAGGAGGUUGACUUAACCUACAUAAGAAGCACCGGCUAACUCUGUGCCAGCAGCCGCGGUAAUACAGAGGGUGCGAGCGUUAAUCGGAAUUAUUGGGCGUAAAGAGCUCGUAGGCGGUUUGUCGCGUCGAAUGUGAAAACCCGGGGCUCAACCCCGGGCCUGCAUUCGAUACGGGCAGACUAGAGUUCGGUAGGGGAGUCUGGAAUUCCUGGUGUAGCGGUGAAAUGCGCAGAUAUCAGGAGGAACACCGGUGGCGAAGGCGGGACUCUGGGCCGAUACUGACGCUGAGGAGCGAAAGCGUGGGGAGCAAACAGGAUUAGAUACCCUGGUAGUCCACGCCGUAAACGUUGGGCGCUAGGUGUGGGGUUCCUUCCACGAACUCCGUGCCGCAGCUAACGCAUUAAGCGCCCCGCCUGGGGAGUACGGCCGCAAGGUUAAA
rnacentral:rRNA from 1 species